CGUGCACAAGGGGAGAAGGGCUGUUGCCUCCAUCGCACUGUCAUUAAAGGUUAUCAAAAAGAACUCUUGGCUCUGUGAAGAAAUAAUGAGUGCAAGUUGGUUUUGCAGACCCUGUUACAAGGGAAGAAUAAACCAGGAUUAAAAAACCUCAUGGAGAGUAUUUUUCCCAACAGGCCUAAUGUUUAAUGCUUUUUUUGCUCUGAAGAAUUAGAAGGGUCAUGAUGACUGGAGCUUGAAAUAAAGGUGAAUUGAUAACACAGGUGGGGAGAUGGACUAAAGGGUUUAUAAUUAAUUGAGCCUUUAUAAACACAGAGAGGCUGCACUAGAGACUCCCUGUCUUACUCUUUCCUAAAUAUUAAACACUCCUAAAUAUAUUCCCUGACUCUAAAUACCGUUUUCCUUUUUAACUGCUGAGGAUACACUUUACCCUGCUGCAGAGCUUCUCAGGACUUACAGAAAUAAAGGACCUAAAAGAACAUUUCUCACAGCUCAGAAGGUCUAAUUCUGGCUGAGAAGGAAUUAAUGUUGUAAUAAUUUUGCUAAACGGCCCCCUCCCCAUCAUUCAAGAGUGGAAAUGCUGUAAAGCACAGCUCUAGGCACCUCUAUUGUAGCCUAAAGGGGAUCCUUCCAUGGUAACCUCCGUAGGUAACUGCAACAUUGGAGUAGGACAGGGCUGUGCACCUGCUUUAGGAGAGUCUCUAUUAAUUUUGACAGAUAUAAAAUAAAACAGGGCUCAAAAAAAAAGGAAGAUUACCAAUAUGAUCCAGAGCAAAGAGGAGGACGGAGUGGUGUUGAGAAAAAAGGGAGAAGGAAGUCUAUGAGACCACAGACUACAGAGAUUAAAAGGAACUGAAAAACUGGAACAAGCUCAAAAGCUAUAGAAUGAGGGUUAUCAGUUUUCUAUUUUCUGCUUGGAGUAAGCUGAAAUUAAAUGUAUUUGUACAGAUAUGUUGAAGUGCUCUUAGCAAAGACUUCCGAAUUUUCUGUAGGUGGCUGAUGUGAAUUUGUCCUCCAAGAAGUGCAAACAGCCAACACAUCUAAUACUUAGCCUUGUGGCUAUAGUUACACUGCAGUCCAUUUUAGGCAGUACAGUUUCCCCUGAAAGCUUCUGGACACAAGAGAGGACCCUCGUCCAUCUGCAGAGGAGUUUUACAUCCUGCAUCUGACUUUCUCUUGCAUUUAUUGACUUCUUUUGUCUGGCACCUCUGCCCAGACAGUUCUGACACUCUCUGUGAUGGCAGCGUGGGAGUGAGCAGGGCAAGAGCAGAGCCUGUCACACAGAUAAAACUUCUAUCAGGAGAGACAAGAAACUACUUCAGCAAUUUUUAUUUCCAAUAGAUUUGAUGGGGCCACA